AUGUUGUUUAGAGUCCGCAAGAUGCAAUUAUACCUUUUCAGAUUUUAGGAGGUGAAGCUCAAGUGGUUCAGAUAAUGUCGAAGCCCCAAGAAAAAAUCAUCGCAAGGCCUGUUUUCGUAUGAAUACCUCAUAAAUUUGAAGAAUAUAAUUUUGUGAACGAAAUUUACUGUUGCACAAGAGGGGAAUAAAGCUGAUCUAGGUGGGAGCAGGAAUGACAAAGUUACAACACAGAAAACCCCUUCCUUCAAAGAGGGAUGGAAGGAUGCGAUGACAUUCUGGCUACAAGUGGAAGGAUGGCAUGCACAUUGCUUGUGUGUGUGUGUGUGUGUGUGUGUGUGAAAACAUAUUGGCAUGAAUGAUUGCAUAGGUGGCAAUGAAAACAAAUGGCAUUUAAAAAAAAACCACACUUUCUAAGAUGGUUCUGUAAAAAACCAUCUUAGAAUGUACUAUAUUCUAAAAUGGUCUCAAUGCCAGGAUCGUCUUAGAAUGUACAUUAUUCUAAAACAGUCCUGGGGCCGAGACUUUCUUAAAAUGUAUGUCAUUCUAAGAUGGUCCUACAGAACCAUCGUCGUAGACCCCAAUAGUUUUUACGACGUAAAACACAUUGUAUGUUGAAAAUAACCGACGUAAAAGACAUGUUUUAUAGUAGUGAACAUUGGUGCUACAUAUUUA